rnacentral:rRNA from 1 species
GGUCUCCUACGGGGGGCAGCAGUAGGGAAUCUUCCACAAUGGACGAAAGUCUGAUGGAGCAACGCCGCAUGAGUGAAGAAGGGUUUCGGCUCGUAAAGCUCUGUUGGUAGUGAAGAGAGAUAGAGGUAGUAACUGGCCUUUAUUUGACGGUAAUUACUUAGAAAGUCACGGCUAGCUACGUGCCAGCAGCCGCGGUAAUACGUAGGUGGCAAGCGUUGUCCGGAUUUAUUGGGCGUAAAGCGAGUGCAGGCGGGUCAAUAAGUC